CCGGGGCCACGAGGCUGGCAGCAUUGGGGCCACAUCAUGCUGAGCCACCGGAGUAGCAGCUCGGGAGUCCCAGAACACUGCACUGGGGACACGUUUCCUAUCGACGGGGGACCCUGGCAUCUGGCGGAGAUGGCCAGGGGAAGCUGCUCUGCUCACUGCCAGCCCUGCCCGGAGACAAAGCGAAGACCCUGCAGAGACAUGGUGCUCUUGGCUGCUCAGUAGUCGGUGUAGGAUCUGUCCGACAGUCUCGCUAACAGCUACAUCUGAUUACUGGGUCACCAAAGGGUGACCACGCUGCACCCGCAGGAGCUGCCCUCUGAUCUGCUGGGGACAGGACGACUGAGGCUCUCUAGGAGCAUAGCGGGGACAGAGCCCUGAUUCUGAGCAAUGCCCUGGGGCUUCGGCUGCCCGGGAGGGCAAAUACAGGAGCCUUCCAGUUGCCAGCGAGUAAAUAAAACUUUGUGGAGUGCA